AACGAACGCUGGCGGCAUGCCUAACACAUGCAAGUCGAACGAGACCUUCGGGUCUAGUGGCGCACGGGUGCGUAACGCGUGGGAACCUGCCCUUAGGUUCGGAAUAACUCCCCGAAAGGGGUGCUAAUACCGGAUAAUGUCUUCGGACCAAAGAUUUAUCGCCUUUGGAUGGGCCCGCGUUGGAUUAGCUAGUUGGUGGGGUAAAAGCCUACCAAGGCGACGAUCCAUAGCUGGUCUGAGAGGAUGAUCAGCCACACUGGGACUGAGACACGGCCCAGACUCCUACGGGAGGCAGCAGUGGGGAAUAUUGGACAAUGGGCGAAAGCCUGAUCCAGCAAUGCCGCGUGAGUGAUGAAGGCCUUAGGGUUGUAAAGCUCUUUUACCCGGGAUGAUAAUGACAGUACCGGGAGAAUAAGCUCCGGCUAACUCCGU
rnacentral:rRNA from 1 species